rnacentral:tRNA from 1 species
UAUAAGAAAUAUUGGAUUUUGAUUCCAAAAAAGGUAAUUAAUUUUACCUCUUAUAA